GAUUAACGCUGGCGGCGUGCAUAACACAUGCAAGUCGAACGAAGUGGCGGACGGGUGAGUAACGCGUGAGUAACCUGCCUUAGAGAAGGGGAUAGCCUUUGGAAACGAAGAAUAAUACCCUAUGCUCUAAGGUGGACUUGCGUGUGAUUAGUUAGUUGGUGGGGUAACGGCCCACCAAGACAGCGAGCAGUAGCCGGCUUGGGAGCAUGUCCGGCAACAUUGGGAGUGGCACACGGCCCAGACUCUACGGAAGGAAGCAGUGGGGAAUUUUGCACAAUGGGGGAAUCCCUAAUGCAGCGACGCCGCGUGAUUUAGAAGGCCGUCGGGUUGUAAAAAUCUUUUCUAUGGGAAGCAGUACCAUAGGAAUAAGGACCGGCUAAUUACGUGCCAGCAGCCGCGGUAAUAC
rnacentral:rRNA from 1 species